AUUCCAGCUCCAAUAGCGUAUACUAAAGUUGUUGCAGUUAAAAAGCUCGUAGUUGAAUUUCUGGUCGUGGCGAUCGGUCCGCCCUUCACGGGGUGUGCACCUGGUCUCUACGUCCAUCCUCGGGGAGAGCGCGUCUGGCAUUCAGUUGUCGGGCGCGGGAUCCUCGUCAUUUACUGUGAGCAAAAUAGAGUGUUCAAAGCAGGCUUAGGCCGUUGAAUACAUUAGCAUGGAAUAAUAAGAUAGGACCUUGGUCUAUUUUGUUGGUUUGCAUUCCAAGGUAAUGAUUAAUAGGGAUAGUUGGGGGUAUUCGUAUUCAAUUGUCAGAGGUGAAAUUCUUGGAUUUAUGGAAGACGAACUACUGCGAAAGCAUUUACCAAGGAUGUUUUCAUUA
rnacentral:rRNA from 1 species